AUUGAGGGGGGGCAAGUCAUUACACAUUUUCCAAAUGAGACUGAAGUGGAUACACAGACUAACAAUAACUGCAAUGACUCAUUCUCCUUUCCAGAACCUCAACUCACAGCUAUCCCCAGUGGCUUUGUGGCAUUUCACAACUGCUUUGACUUUAGAACCUCUCUCACCUUGGCCCCCCCUCCAGAGCCAAAGGAACCCCUACAUCUCAGGAAGGGACAUGCAAUGCAAGCAAAAUACUUGAAGACUCCUGAGCUGGACAGCAUUUGUGUUCUUUUCAACUCUUUGGAUUUUGUGGAGGGGGUCUAAGAGGUUACUCUGUGUAAAUCCUCUUGGCUGAGCAGCCCUUGACAGAGUCUGCUGCCUGCACAGAAGUCUUAGACGGGUGUUUGGUUUGGUUUCUGUGGAAAUCAAGGCAAGGAUCUGAGUUCCACAUCUCAGUGCAGACCCAAGACAGUGUACACAGGAUGGCAAACUGACUCAAACUGAAAGAACCCAGUGGAAGCAGAAACUAGGAGCCAGAGGUGUCAGGAAUAGCUCAGCCCUUCCCAGAAGCAGCAAGAGGGCAAGAAGGGCAGAGGAGACUGAGCUGGCAGGUCUCUAAAUGACCUCAAGUCACCAAUAGCCACUGGUGCUGAAGGAAAUGGGAAAAUAGUCUCAUGACCCAGUGUGUGCUUCCCAUGCAGGUGAGCACUGACAGUGGGAGACAGGGGUGUGUCAUCCUG